rnacentral:snRNA from 1 species
UACUGUUAUAACUCUUUUAGAAAUUGUCUAGCGGGGUUUCCGUUUUUUUUUCUGGAACCCGAC